rnacentral:rRNA from 1 species
CCUUGAAAAAAUCAAAGGUGUAACCUGCCCAAUGAUCUUAAACUUAAAAAAUAUAACCAUUUUUAAAAAGAUUUAAAGGACGCAGUAUCCUGACUGUGAUAAUGUAGCAUAAUCAUUCGCCAUUUAAUUGAUGGAUAGUAUGAAUGGUUGAACGAAUUCUUCACUGUCUUAAAAAAAGAAAUAAUGAAAUUUAAAUAAUAGUAAAGAUGCUAUUUAAAAUUGUAAGACGAAAAGACCCUAUAGAGCUUAACUAUAAGUUCUUUUACUUAAAAGAAUAUAAUUCUCAAAAUAAAGAACUUGGUAGUUUAGUUGGGGCGACUAUCUUCUAAUAUUAACGAAGACAAGCAAAAUUAAUAUAUAAUUUAUUGUAUAACCUAUAAGUUUAACAAUUACAAAAGUAGGCAUAAUGACCCGUUUUCAUUUAGUAAUUAAAGAAAACGAUCAAUAAAUAAAAGCUACCUUAGGGAUAACAGGAUAAUUUUGUUUUAGAGAUCCUAUCGAAAACAAAGUUUGUCACCUCUAUGUUGAAUUAAGAUAUCCUAGUAAUGCAGAAGG